rnacentral:rRNA from 1 species
AGAAUCAACGCUGGCGGCGUGCCUAACACAUGCAAGUCGAACGAGAAAGUGGAGCAAUCCACAAGUAAAGUGGCGCACGGGUGAGUAACACGUGACUAACCUACCCUUGAGUGGGGGAUAACCUAGAGAAAUCUGGGCUAAUACCGCAUAAUACCUUCGGGUCAAAGGAGCAAUUCGCUUAAGGAGGGGGUCGCGGCCGAUUAGUUAGUUGGCGGGGUAAUGGCCCACCAAGACUGUGAUCGGUA